rnacentral:rRNA from 1 species
UACGUAGGGGGCUAGCGUUGUCCGGAAUCAUUGGGCGUAAAGCGCGCGUAGGCGGCCAGAUAAGUCCGGUGUGAAAGUCACAGGCUCAACCUGUGAAUGCCGCUGGAAACUGUCUGGCUUGAGUCCGGAAGGGGCGAGUGGAAUUCCUGGUGUAGCGGUGAAAUGCGCAGAUAUCAGGAGGAACACCAAUGGCGAAGGCAGCUCGCUGGGACGGUACUGACGCUGAGACGCGAAAGCGUGGGGAGCGAACAGG